UACGUAGGGUGCAAGCGUUUAAUCGGAAUUACUGGGCGUAAAGCGUGCGCAGGCGGCUAUGCAAGACAGAUGUGAAAUCCCCGGGCUCAACCUGGGAACUGCAUUUGUGACUGCAUGGCUAGAGUACGGUAGAGGGGGGAUGGAAUUCCGCGUGUAGCAGUGAAAUGCGUAGAUAUGCGGAGGAACACCGAUGGCGAAGGCAAUCCCCUGGACCUGUACUGACGCUCAUGCACGAAAGCGUGGGGAGCAAACAGG
rnacentral:rRNA from 1 species